rnacentral:rRNA from 1 species
ACACGUCUACAUUAGAUACCCGCGUAGUCCCAGCCGUAAACUAUGCGCGUUAGGUGUAUCGGUGACCACGAGUCACCGAGGUGCCGAAGGGAAACCGUGAAACGUGCCACCUGGGAAGUACGGUCGCAAGGCUGAAACUUAAAGGAAUUGGCGGGGAGCACCACAACGGGUGGAGCCUGCGGUUUAAUUGGACUCAACGCCGGGAAGCUCACCGGAUAAGACAGCGGAAUGAUUGCCGGGCUGAAGACUCUGCAUGACUAGCUG